AUUAAAUUAGGAUAAGAAAUUUUUGAAUCCACUGUGUUUAAUUAGCUGUUGAUGGCUUCAUUGCUCAUGGCUAUGCGUUGAAGCAAAGCCGUUUCUUUCAUUUACAUUCACUUAUUCUGGAUAUUUUAUUAAGUGAUUGUUAUUAUUGGAAGCUUUAUCGGAGAUAUUAAGCAUCUGUCCUUUCUCUUUAACAUUGCACCCUAUGGCUGUUAUUGAAGUGAAAGAGAGUUGAGUUGAUUACCUUGUCAACGGGAAUUCUGUUUUAUGUUCCACACCCAGGAUAUGACAUUAUCUGGAAUCCUG
rnacentral:misc_RNA from 1 species